UCAACCCACUAACCGUUGAUGAUGCCGCUUGGAAGUUUGAAUGCCGACUGUGCGUCCACAUUACGUCUCGAUCUGUCCUAUGUAUCCAGGAUUUACUACAGUAUAACGAGACUUCGUGCUUACAAAUGCGAGCGCAGAUUUGAACGUCUACAGUACUUACGCAAACAAAACAAAGCAAUAAUUAAUACUGUACGUUAUGGUUUCGAAGUCCAAACUCCAAAGUUUAAAAUAGCUGCGGUAUAUCACUUGUACUACGCUGAAGUAAAUAAAGAUUGGGAAAUGUGCUGUAGUUGCGGUAUAAAAGCAUGUGCAGUGCAGCCGGUUUGAAAUGAACUUCAAUCCUUCACUUCAGACUCCUUUGAGUGUCCAAACGCAUCUUAUAUUCGCGCAAACGCCAUCUUGUUUUGAUUUAUCGUUGCUUAAGAAGUAAGACAGUGUUUUUAAUAAUGUCUGACCGAACCCAGGACAAAGUGAAAAAUGCCGCCGAAUCCGCAAAAAAGGAUGUGCAAAAUGCAGGUGCUGCUGUUGCCGGUCGACAAGUGCAAGGAAGGAAUAGACAAGCUAAAACAUGCGACGGGAUGUGAAUCUACGACAGACAAGAUCGUUAAUACCUUAAAGGGCAAUUAGCUGACCGGAAAUGAUGCGGAGGACCGGUGUGACAUAGCGAAAGGAAGGACGCAUCUCUCAAAACUUCCUUAUAUAAUUACUCCUCAAGCCUUACAUUAAAUUGCACAGUAUUCCAGUUUUCACGGAAUUGACGGUCAUGAUUGUUUUGUUUUACUUUUGAUGCGGACUCGUACAACCAGAUCAGAUUUUGAUUGGUUGUCAUCUUUCUGAAUAUGUAUGUAUUUUAUGUAUGCAUUGUAUUUUAUUUGUACAACAAUGCUUAGGAUACUUACUUUGUGCAGCCAUUGUGGAAAACUAGAAAUCCAGCUUGGAAUUAUGACCACUGAUUAAAAGUUCUGUAUCAAG